GAGUGAAGCGGCAACAGCUCAAAUUUGAAAUCUGGCGUUUUCAACGCCCGAGUUGUAAUUUGCAGAGGAUGCUUUUGGCGACGUGCCUUCCGAGUUCCCUGGAACGGGACGCCGAAGAGGGUGAGAGCCCCGUACGGUCUGGUGCCUAGCCGCUGCAAAGCUCCUUCGACGAGUCGAGUAGUUUGGGAAUGCUGCUCUAAAUGGGAGGUAAACUCCUUCUAAAGCUAAAUAUUGGCCAGAGACCGAUAGCGCACAAGUAGAGUGAUCGAAAGAUGAAAAGCACUUUGAAAAGAGAGUCAAACAGCACGUGAAAUUGUUGAAAGGGAAGCGCUUAUGACCAGACUUGGGCUUGGUGGUUCAGCCGUCCUUCUGGGCGGUGUACUCUGCCGGUUCAGGCCAGCAUCAGUUGUUGUUGGGGCAGAAAAACCCGGGAAUGUGGCUCUUCGGAGUGUUAUAGCCCGGGUGUAAUUCCCCUACGGCGACUGAGGUUAGCGAUCUUCACGGAUGCUGGCGUAAUGGUUAUCAGCGACCCGUCUUGAAACACGGACCAAGGAGUCGUCCUGCUAUGCGAGUGUUUGGGCGUCAAACCCCUACGCGUAAUGAAAGUGAACGGAGGU
rnacentral:rRNA from 1 species